CUAGGAUAACUCCGGGAAACCGGGGCUAAUACUGGAUAACUUUUCUCUCCGCAUGGAGGGAGAUUGAAAGAUGGCUUCGGCUAUCACCUACAGAUGGACCCGCGGCGCAUUAGCUAGUUGGUGAGGUAACGGCUCACCAAGGCAACGAUGCGUAGCCGACCUGAGAGGGUGAUCGGCCACAUUGGGACUGAGACACGGCCCAAACUCCUACGGGAGGCAGCAGUAGGGAAUCUUCCGCAAUGGACGAAAGUCUGACGGAGCAACGCCGCGUGAGUGAAGAAGGUCUUCGGAUCGUAAAACUCUGUUGUUAGGGAAGAACAAGUAUCGUUCGAAUAGGGCGGUACCUUGACGGUACCUAACCAGAAAGCCACGGCUAACUACGUGCCAGCAGCCGCGGUAAUACGUAGGUGGCAAGCGUUGUCCGGAAUUAUUGGGCGUAAAGCGCGCGCAGGCGGUCUUUUAAGUCUGAUGUGAAAGCCCACGGC
rnacentral:rRNA from 1 species